AUUAACGAUAGCAACUAAUCAAUCCAAAAUUUGAACCCUUCUCGACCAGACCUGAAUCAACCCGCAACUAGCUCAUCUUAAUUCUCUCCACGCGUCCUACGCGAUGUUAUACCCUGGGAGAUCCGAGAAUCUGCUAGAAAGAGCGUGAGUUGGCUCGUAUAGUGGCUAUAUUCCACGAUUUUAGGAUUUUGGUAUGGAUUAGGUACGUACUUGGGCGUCUUUCAUUGGUUGGAAAAGGGGAUUCAGUAUCCCACAUUUUAUAGUUGCCAUUUUGGGGAAAAAUCCAAAGAAUUUGGUACAAAGGGGGUACGGACUGUUGGAGGGUAGCGGGAUCCGGGUGGAAAUUUGGAGUUUCUCCCUCUUUUUGAAAUCCCUAGGGAAACCCUAAUUCGACUCCUAUAAAAGGGUUCUUGGGGUCACUGUUGAGGGGUUUUUUUUUUCUCUUCUUGGAAGGGUCCGAAGUUUUGGUAGAGAAAAUUCUAGGGUCUUAUUUCAGGAGGGAUAACUUGGGUUAGAGACGAAGUUUUUGAAAGAAAUCAAGAAAGAAAUUUUAGGCUGGUUAGAAAAGUUGUUUUUAAAAAUUUGGGUUGGGCACUCUGAAAUUAAGGAGUUUAUUGUCGCGAAGAAUUUCUCAUCCACUAUGUCUGGGAAAGCUAGUCGAUCAAUGGGAAGUUUCCCGAGGCAACAACAUUAGCUCCCAGUGGGGAUAGUUUUGCUGAUAGCUCGAGUCCCGUUUGCUGCUCCUUGAAAGCCGUCUUUGAGUCCAAACGGACUGUUUUCCGUAAUUGCAUUAUCGAUGUGAGCCAUUGAGGCUCCUUCCUUCUGAUUCGAUCUCGAAGAUGAUCUCGUAACACAAAUCCAAGGACUCGACUGAAGAAAGUAUGGGCUAAACCCCAUUGUUUGAAGCGGCAAAGAAGGACUUGAAAGCUAUUAUUUUUAUUUAUUUACAUCGUCACCUUUAGUUAUUUAUUGAUUUGUUUGUUUAUUUCUUUA